UUGUGGGUUAACAAGCCGCCGCACGGAAAGUCAGCCAUGCAGCGCUGCUACGUAGUGCGCUCCCUUUAUCUUUAUGUUUACCUCUCCCUAAUAAUAAAGCACGGAACACUUCUAUCGUCCGUCGAGGCGUUUUUGCACAAAAGCCCCUCCACUUUUGGAUAUUCAAUCCGCAGUCCCUAUGUAAGUGGAUCUGGAAAAAAACGUUUUGAGUUUAUAAAAUAACCCUUGCGUCAUGUAAUAAUUCCGCCCAGGCUCCUUAUCCACGUGGUUGGGGACGGCGGUUGCUUGAUGCGGAACGAUGGCGACGGCUGCUCGAUGCGGAAGGACGGUGGCGACUGCUUGGCAGGGGCUGGAUGGGUGCACUGUAGAGGAUUGGGAGGCCGAUUUGGAGGCGGGCGGUGAGGCGGGGUCGCCGGUGACGAAGAGGAAGGCCGGAGCCUGGCCGGGGAGCGGCGGCGGCGAGGACGCGGCGGCGCCUCCUCCUCUCGGAUCCGGUGAUGGCCAUCUGCACAAAAGCCAAUAAGAUUGACGACAUUUGGGUGGCGCAGCCCGCUCAUCGUGAGCGCAUGGGCAAGGAACUCCCUGUUAUGUUGCUCUGGUGAGCCACUUGGAUCAACAGCAUGCUGAAGCUUUAUAGCAACGACCUACAGAUGCAGAUGUUGAUUGAUCAAUCAUUUUCUUUCCCUCACAUCGAUCAUGUCUUCAAAUCGUCAUGGUCCGUACGUAUAUGAAACUAAGUAUAAAAUAAGAAGAAGAAUUGGAUUGUCACCUGAUUGAUGCUCUUCAUGUAGCCUUUGUCGCUGAAGUUUCUUGUCACCGUCGCGAGCUCCUCGAAGGAGAAAGUUCGUGGCACGGCGCCAGCGACGCCGCUGGUGUGUGGAUUGGUCGGAGCAGAACGUGGGACCUCCUUCUUCCUCGCGCUCAAGCAGGGGAAACAACUUGUUAGGCUGAAAGCAGCCAUUGUUGAGCUUGACACCGGCUUAGCUUCCUUUUGCCAGAUCUGUCUCUCAACCAGAACAAGAUUUGUGCUACAUUUAAAAAACAAAUAAGAGGAAAACAUAUUAGCUUCACAGGAGGUCAGUUGACAUAUGUCCCUAAAAUUUCAAACAGCUAUGCUAUAUAUGUUUACCGGAGUUUUGUUAGACUCGCGUCAUGGGCGGAAGAGGGUUUAAGUUGAACUCACAAGGUGUUAAGGAAUAACAUGAAUCAUCUUAUAGUCUGUUCUGUUUA